GGGCCCUUAGCCCAGCUGGUUAGGGCUCACCCCUGAUAAGAGGUCGGUGGUUCGGAUCCACUAGAGCCCA
rnacentral:tRNA from 1 species